GACGGAGGAUGCAAGUGUUAUCCGGAAUCACUGGGCGUAAAGCGUCUGUAGGUCGUUUAAAAAGUCUACUGUUAAAAAUUGAAGCUUAACUUCAAAGGUGCCGUAGAGACUUUUAAACUUGAGUAUGGUAGGGGUAGAGGGAAUUUCCAGUGGAGCGGUGAAAUGCGUAGAUAUUGGGAAGAACACCUGAGGCGAAGGCGGGUUGCUGGGCCGACACUGACGCUGAGGCGCGAAAGCCAGGGGAGCAAACGGG
rnacentral:rRNA from 1 species